GGCGGAGUAGCUCAGGUGGUUAGAGCAGCGGAAUCAUAAUCCGCGCGUCGGGGGUUCGAGUCCCCCCUCCGCUA
rnacentral:tRNA from 1 species